AGAGGGAUAGCUGGGUCAAAUGGUUCCAUUCCUAGUUUUCCGAGAAAUCUCCAUACUGCUUUCCAUAUUGGCUGCACCGAUUUGCAGUCCCACCAGCAAU
rnacentral:pre_miRNA from 1 species